CCUAUCAUAUCCUAUCAUAGAAUCCCAAGCUAAUCCUAAUCAAACCCUAAUCGAGCAAUAGAACCCUAGCCAUGUCGAUUAGAAAAUUACAGUGAGCUUGCAUGCGGUAGUAUGAGCAGUGGAGCUCACGAAGUUGCACUUGAUUCGUGGAUAGUGCAAUCACCGGAAGCGGAAGCGAACACAUCGGCGCGACGAGGGUUCCAAACGGCGGAAUAGACACAGUAAGCGUGUUAUUUGAAAGUGCGAACGGAAGUGGGAGGAUCGAGAGUCCAUAAUUUGACGGGGUCAUCCCAUGAACCGGCGAGGAAAGAGUCACGGCAAACGGGGUUGAGCGGUGGCAACAGCUAUGCGGUUUUCGUAGAAUGGACUGAACUUGACGGAGUAACCGUUGAAUGGGGUUUUGGAAACCAGCAUCAUUUUGAAAAUCGAAGUUUGGUUAGGUGAAAGAGUGACUGUUAGGUGUUUGAUGUUAUGCGCCUGAGGGUGAUGAUGAAUGUGUUUACUUGGUCCUAGAGUUUUGUGCUGGAGGGAAUCUCGCUUCUUAUAUUCGAUCUCAUGGAAGAAUUCAACAACUAACUGCUAGAAUGUUCAUGCAACUGCUUGAAGUCAGGGUGGAAGUUGCAUCGUCUUGAAUGAGAAGUCCUCUUAAGGCUAGACUACGACAAGAGAAAAUCUGUCACACCAUCCACACGACUGAUGUUCAAACUUUAUCUUCAAAGGAAGUUGCAAGAUGAGAAGAUUGUGUCAUUUUUUGAGUCAAGUAACAAACUUCAUCAUUAUUUGGAAGUGGGAAGGAAUUUAAACAUAAACACUAAAAAUCAAUAUUUGCAUUCAUUUGGCUUCAUAAAAUCCUUUAGAGAUCUUUAAUAUUUUAAUGACUAUUGUUGUAGCUUCUCUUCUUAUAUGUAGUAGUACAGAAAUUUCAGAUCAAAUUGCUGAGGUUCAUACUAUUUACACGCAUCAAUCAUUCCAAGGUUAUUACUACCAUCACUGUCAUCAUACUUUACACCAAUCAAUUUUAUCCAUAAAUCAUAUUAAUCAAUAUUUAAAUUAAUUGAACUUAAUUAAUUUUUGCAGUGAAUACCGGACAAAGCAGAUCAUUAUUAUAUUAAUUUUUGCAUUAUUAAUAACUUCUGCUUUCUAACAAUUGUAAGUGUGAAGCAAAUUAAAUUUAAAAAAAAAAUUGAGAAAUGGAAAUUAUUAAUAAUAAUUAUUAUUAUAUUAAUGAUCAUUAAACUUUUAGUACAUUAAACUGACACUUCAUAGACAGUUAAGUAAACCAAUUAACUCAGCUGGACUUUUUUAUAUUGUAAGAGAAUUGAAUUAAGGAAAUUAAAUAAUGUUGUGGAAGUAUUUGUAUUGUCUCCUUUAAGAUAUCUAUUAAGGCUACAUGAUUUUGU